UGGUUAGGUAAUGGCUUACCAAGCCGUUGAUCGGUACGGGUUGUGAGAGCAAGAGCCCGGAGAUGGAACCUGAGACAAGGUUCCAGGCCCUACGGGGUGCAGCAGGCGCGAAACCUCCGCAAUGUGAGAAAUCGCGACGGGGGGAUCCCAAGUGCCAUUCUUAACGGGAUGGCUUUUCAUUAGUGUAAAGAGCUUUUGGAAUAAGAGCUGGGCAAGACCGGUGCCAGCCGCCGCAGUAACACCGGCAGCUCUAGUGGUAACAAUUUUUAUUGGGCCUAAAGCGUCCGUAGCCGGUUUAAUAAGUCUCUGGUGAAAUCCUGCAGCUUAACUGUGGGAAUUGCUGGAGAUACUAUUAGACUUGAGACCGGGAGAGGUUAGAGGUACUCCCAGGGUAGAGGUGAAAUUCUGUAAUCCUGGGAGGACCGCCUGUUGCGAAGGCGUCUAACUGGAACGGUUCUGACGGUGAGGGACGAAAGUUAGGGGCGCGAACCGGAUUAGAUACCCGGGUAGUCCUAACUGUAAACGAUGCGGACUUGGUGUUGGGGUGGCUUUGAGCUGCUUCAGUGCCGAAGGGAAGCUGUUAAGUCCGCCGCCUGGGAAGUACGGUCGCAAGACUGAAACUUAA
rnacentral:rRNA from 1 species